AACGAACGCUGGCGGCAGGCCUAACACAUGCAAGUCGAGCGCCCGCAAGGGAGCGGCGGACGGGUGAGUAACGCGUGGGAACGUGCCCUUUGCUACGGAAUAGCCUCGGGAAACUGAGAGUAAUACCGUAUGUGCCCUUCGGGGGAAAGAUUUAUCGGCAAAGGAUCGGCCCGCGUUGGAUUAGGUAGUUGGGGGGGUAAUGGCCUACCAAGCCGAAGAUCCAUAGCUGGUUUGAGAGGAUGAUCAGCCACACUGGGACUGAGACACGGCCCAGACUCCUACGGGAGGCAGCGGUGGGGAAUCUUGGACAAUGGGCGCAAGCCUGAUCUAGCCAUGCCGCGUGAUCGAUGAAGGCCUUAGGGUUGUAAAGAUCUUUCAGUGGGGAAGAUAAUGACUGUACCCACAGAAGAAGCCCCGGCUAACUCCGUGCCAGCCGCCGCAGUAA
rnacentral:rRNA from 1 species